rnacentral:lncRNA from 1 species
CCCGUCUCCCUCUCCCUCUCCCGUCUCCCUCUCCCUCUCAUGCCGAGCCAAAGCUGGACGGUACUGCUGCCAUCUCGGCUCACUGCAACCUCCCUGCCUGAUUCUCCUGCCUCAGCCUGCCGAGUGCCUGCGAUUGCAGGCGCGCGCCGCCACGCCUGACUGGUUUUCGUUUUUUUUUGGUGGAGAUGGGGUUUCGCUGUGUUGGCCGGGCUGGUCUCCAGCUCCUAACCGCGAGUGAUCCGCCAGCCUCGGCCUCCCGAGGUGCCGGGAUUGCAGAUGGAGUCUCGUUCACUCAGUGCUCAAUGGUGCCCAGGCUGGAGUGCAGUGGCGUGAUCUCGGCUCGCUACAACCACCUCCCAGCCGCCUGCCUUGGCCUCCCAAAGAGCCGAGAUUGCAGCCUCUGCCCGGCCGCCACCCCGUCUGGGAAGUGAGGAGCGUCUCUGCUUGGCCACCCAUCGUCUGGGAUGUGAGGAGCCCCUCUGCCUGGCUGCCCAGUGUGGAAAGUGAGGAGCGUCUCUGCCCGGCCGCCAUCCCAUCUAGGAAGCGAGAAGCGCCUCUUCCCCGCCGCCAUCCCAUCUAGGAAGUGAGGAGCGUCUCUGCCCGGCCGCCCAUCGUCUGAGAUGUGGGGAGCACCUCUGCCCCACCGCCCUGUCUGGGAUGUGAGGAGCGCCUCUGCUGGGCCGCAACCCUGUCUGGGAGGUGAGGAGUGUCUCUGCCCGGCCGCUCCGUCUGAGAAGUGAGGAAACCCUCUGCCUGGCAACCGCCCCGUCUGAGAAGUGAGGAGCCCCUCCGUCUGGCAACCACCCCGUCUGGGAAGUGAGGAGCGUCUCCGCCCGGCAGCCACCCCGUCCGGGAGGGAGGUGGGGGGGGUCAGCCCCCUGCCCGGCCAGCCGCCCCGUCCGGGAGGUGAGGGGCUCCUCUGCCCGGCCGCCCCUACUGGGAAGUGAGGAGCCCCUCUGCCCGGCCAGCCGCCCCGUCCGGGAGGGAGGCGGGGGGGGGGGGGGGGGGUCGGCCAGCCGCCCCGGCCGGGAGGUGAGGGGCUCCUCUGCCCGGCCGCCCCUACUGGGAAGUGAGGAGCCCCUCUGCCCGGCCAGUCGCCCCGUCCAGGAGGGAGGUGGGGGGGUCAACCCCCCGCCCGGCCAGCCGCCCAGUCCGGGAGGGAGGUGGGGGGUCAGCCCCCCGCCUGGCCAGCCGCCCCGUCCGGGAGGUGAGGGGCGCCUCUGCCCGGCCGCCCCUACUGGGAAGUGAGGAGCCCCUCUGCCCGGCCAGCCGCCCCGCCCAGGAGGGAGGUGGGGGGGUCAGCCCCCUGCCCGGCCAGCCGCCCCGUCCGGGAGGGAGGUGGGGGGAUCAGCCCCCUGCCUGGCCAGCCGCCCCGUCCGGGAGGUGAGGGGCGCCUCUGCCCGGCCGCCCCUACUGGGAAGUGAGGACCCCUCUGCCCAGCCAGCCGCCCCGUCCGGGAGGGAGGUGGGGGGGGUCAGCCCCCCGCCCGGCCAGCCGCCCCGUCCGGGAGGGAGGUGGGGGGAUCAGCCCCCUGCCUGGCCAGCCGCCCCGUCCGGGAGGUGAGGGGCGCCUCUGCCCGGCCGCCCCUACUGGGAAGUGAGGACCCCUCUGCCCGGCCAGCCGCCCCGUCCGGGAGGGAGGUGGGGGGAACAGCCCCCCGCCCGGCCAGCCGCCCUAUCCAGGAGGUGAGGGGCGCCUCUGCCCGGCCGCCCCUACUGGGAAGUGAGGAGCCCCUCUGCCUGGCCAGCCGCCCCGUCCGGGAGGGCGGUGGGGGGGUCAGCCCCCCGCCCGGCCAGCCGCCCCAUCUGGGAGGUGAGGGGCACUUCUGCCGGGCCGCCCCUACUGGGAAGUGAGGAGCCCCUCUGCCCGGCCACGACCCCGUCUGGGAGGUGUGCCCAGCGGCUCAUUGGGGAUGGGCCAUGAUGACAAUGGCGGUUUUGUGGAAUAGAAAGGCGGGAAGGGUGGGGAAAAAAUUGAGAAAUCGGAUGGUUGCUGGGUCUGUGUGGAUAGAAGUAGACAUGGGAGACUUUUCAUUUUGUUCUGUACUAAGAAAAAUUCUUCUGCCUUGGGAUCCUGUUGAUCUGUGACCUUAUCCCCAACCCUGUGCUCUCUGAGACAUGUGCUGUGUCCACUCAGGGUUAAAUGGAUUAAGGGCGGUGCAAGAUGUGCUUUGUUAAACAGAUGCUUGAAGGCAGCAUGCUCGUUAAGAGUCAUCACCACUCCCUAAUCUUAAGUACCCAGGGACACAAACACUGCGGAAGGCAGCAGGGUCCUCUGCCUAGGAAAACCAGAGACCUUUGUUCACUUGUUUAUCUGCUGACCUUCCCUCCACUAUUGUCCUAUGACCCUGCCAAAUCCCCCUCUGCGAGAAACACCCAAGAAUGAUCAAUAAAAAUAAAAAAUAAAAAAAAUAAAAAAUAAAAAAAUAAAAAAUAAAACGUUACUGCUCAAAAGAAAAAAAAAAUAAAAAAUAAAAAAAAUAAAAAAUCAAAAACAUAAAAUAAUAAACAUAAAUUUUUAUUAAUUAUAUUCAGGCCAGCAAUAAUGCAUAUAGUUAGCUGAAAUGUAAAGUUUAUAAAUUAACAGGAGAAUACAAUGUGAGAAACAGCUAGGUCAGUAAGAAUUCCAGGAAACGAUGAAACACUUUCUAUGGGUAUAUUUAAGAGGAAAAAAGAGAAAAGGAGAGAGCAGAAUCUCAAGGUUGUAAAACAAGAGUUAAUAUGCUUCUUAUUAAAGGCAGUGAAUGCAUGGCCGGGCAUGGUGCUUCACACCUGUCAUCUCAGUACUUUGGCAAGCCAAGGCAGGUAGAUCACCUGAGGUCAGCAGUUCAAGACCAGCCUGGCCAACAUGAUGAGACCUCGUAUCUACUAAAAAUACAAAACUUAGCCAGGCAUGGUGGUGCACGCCUGUAGUCCCAGCUACGCAGGAGGCUGAGGUAGGAGAAUCACUUGAACCCGGGAGGUGGAGGUUGCAGUGAGCCGAGAUCGUGCCACUGCACUCCAGCCUGGGUGACAGAGCAAGACUCUUAAACAAAACAAACAAAAAACCAAAAAAAUAAAAGUAGUGAAUGCAGAACAAGAACAUAUUAGAGUACAAGGACUUGUUCUUUGAUCAGAUUACAAUGAAUGGAAUCAGUCUGUGGGGAAGAUAAUGUUGCCUGAAUUCAAACAUUGAAUUAUUGUCUCAAAUGCUAUUUGAGUGUUUUGACAAGUUUUUGAGCAAAUGUUUAACCUUAGACCUGCUCUAAAUUAAUGUUUUUCCUGAAUUAUAUAUAUAAAAAUCAAAUAUCCUAAAUUUACAAGGUUUAUAACAUAGUAUUCGUCAGUGCAAGACACAGUGGUUCACGCCUGUAAUCUCAGCACUUUGGGAGGCCAAGCUGGGUGGAUUGCUUGAGUCCAGGAGGUCAAGACCAGCCUGGGCAAUGUGGUGAGA